AGCUCCUUGAGAAUUCUAGGAUGCAUUUCAUCAGGCCCUAGUGACGUGAAGGCAUCUAACUUUUCUAAGUGAUUUUUAACUCGUUCUUUUUUUAUUUUAUCUUCUAAACCUACCCCCUUCCCAUUAGCAUUCACUAUGUUAGGCAUUCCUUCAGACUUCCCGGUGAAGACCGAAACAAAGAAGUCAUUAAGCAUCUCUGCCAUUUCCAAGUUUCCUGUUACUGUUUCUCCCUUUUCACUGAGUAGUGGGCCUACCCUGCCUUUGGUCUUCCUCUUGCUUCUAAUGUAUUGAUAAAAAGUCGUCUUGUUUCCCUUUAUUCCCAUUGCUAGUUUGAGCUCAUUUUGUGCCUUUGCCUUUCUAAUCUUGCCCCUGCAUUCCUGUGUUGUUUGCCUAAAUUCAUCCUUUGUAAUCCGUCCUAGUUUCCAUUUUUUAUAUGACUCCUUUUUAUUUUUUAGAUCAUGCAAGAUCUCGUGGUUAAAGACACGUUUGGACUUUUCAUUUGGGAUGAGCGACCCAGGAAGCAGUGGACUAAAAGACAGUCACCUAGCUGAAGGGCUGAGUUCCCAGGCAAAAAACUGCCUGAGUGCCCUAGCGACUCUUGGCGGAGGUGCUAGCCCAGCAGGAAAGCUGUGACCCCAGGCCUGGCCAGGAAGGGGCACCUAUUGCCUCCCACACAGAUCCUGCAGCCAGCCCAGCUCAGGGAGCAGUGGGGACAGGUCAUCUCAUCCUGUCAAACCAAGCAACAUGGGUCCCAUUGAAGCUCAGAUAGAAGAUCCCAUGCACCUCCUGGAGAGGAUGUGUCCAGGAUCCUGGAGACUGUUUUCCUGCUGCAGGAGGUUUGAGCGGGAAGAGCUUACUCACUGUCGUGAGCCAGGGUCUGCAGGGUUCAUGGGAGCAGCCAAGCUCCAACCCUCCACCUGGAAGCCUGCUGAAAAUUACUUACUUAGGACCCAUGAAGUUCAGGCCCACGCCUGAGGUCCUACUGGAGGAGUCCCAGGAAAGUUCAUUGGCCCCUGGCCCUGCUUAAGACAGCAGCAGGAACAGGACGCUGACUGAACACCACAACUGCUCCCUGUUCUGGACCGUGUGCUGCCUGGUUCUGCUGCCGCUCCCUUGGCUUGAUUUCCUGACAUCUGAGUCAUGGUGGUGAUCGCAAGUUUGUCUUUUGCUGCUGAUCUUCCAGUAUCCUGACCCAGCUGACUCUUGACUCCUGUCACGGCUCACCAUCCAUCUUGGAGCUGAACACCAGAUGGGAGCUGAUAGAUUGCCCUUGGUGGGCCAUGUUCUUGUGUGUGAUAGAGGUGUGUGCCAGAGGGGGCCAGGAGCAGAUGCACCACACCUGGCCAGGACUGGGCUAAACAGCCUGUAAAGACAGUCAGCCUGUGAGGCCCAUUUUCAGAAUGUGGAAGAUCCCUUUGGCGAUGGUUGGAGGAUUCACCAUAUAGGUGGCAGCAACUGCAGUGCCUGGGGUCCCCAUGGGACAAGUCUCCACUCCUGACUCUCCAGGCUAAUCUCCCACUGCUCUCCGUGGGGCUUUGCUUUAGCUGCUGGGCCUGUGUGCCUAGACAGAGGACUCGAGUAUUUCCAUCAGCCUGCUCAAUGGCAAAUACAGCCACCCAAAGAAGUGAAGAAGAAUGGAAGUGAAAGAGCAAAGCUGGACCAUCCGCUGAGCUGCUGCAAUCAAGUGAGCAGAGCGGGGGAGAGAAGAGGGAGAACUCAAAGGCGGCUGGCGGCAGUAGGGAGGAGAAGCAUUUUUGGAGCCAGGAGAGUAGAAAUAAAUAGUUAAUGACAAAUACUGCCAGCUUUGUCUUGUGGUGAAGGGUUGAAAAGGGGUCUCUUUACUAUCA